AGCCGGGGCGCCCCGAGCGCUGAGCGGCGGCACCGCGACCGCCCCCGCGCCGCCUCCUCCCGCCGCGCCCCGGCGGGCACUUGUUGCAUUGCGAGAGGGCUUCGGCAGCGGGCGGACUUCUCAUCCCGUCCUGGCUGAGUAGCAUCACUGAAGGAGCCAGCUGUUACUGCUGUGGGAGGUCAAGAGCUCCUUCCAGUUGCAUCUUCUGUGUCAUCUGUGAAACCCCCAGUUACAUUCACUUGCUACUAUAAAAAGCUUUGAUUUAUGAAUCCCAGGCCAAAAGAAUACACACACUUCUCAUCCUCCCAAACCUCAUACUGGAAGCUCAUAGUUGCAAAUUCUUCUGGCCAGCUGCAUACCUUGUGAGGGAAAUGAUCAAAGACUGUGUUCUUUGGGUGAGUUUUCUGAUUAUUCAUCCAAUAGCCAAAAUGAGAAUUAGACAAAAUAUUUUGUUCCUGAGAACAGCUUCAGAAAGAAA
rnacentral:lncRNA from 1 species